GAUGAACGCUGGCGGCGUGCCUAAUACAUGCAAGUCGAGCGAACGGACGAGCAGCUUGCUUUUCUGAUGUUAGCCGCGGACGGGUGAGUAACACGUGGCUCACCUACCUAUAAGACUGGGAUAACUUCGGGAAACCGGAGCUAAUACCGGAUAAUAUUUUGAACCGCAUGGUUCAAAAGUGAAAGACGGUCUUGCUGUCACUUAUAGAUGGUUCCGCGCUGCAUUAGCUAGUUGGUAAGGUAACGGCUUACCAAGGCAACGAUGCAUAGCCGACCUGGGAGGGUGAUCGGCCACACUGGAACUGAGACACGGUCCAGACUCCUACGGGAGGCAGCAGUAGGGAAUCUUACGCAAUGGGCGAAAGCCUGACGGAGCAACGCCGCGGGAGUGAUGAAGGUCUUCGGAUCGUAAAACUCUGUUAUUAGGGAAGAACAUAUGUGUAAGUAACUGUGCACAUCUUGACGGUACCUAAACAGAAAGCCACGGCUAACUACGUG
rnacentral:rRNA from 1 species